rnacentral:sRNA from 1 species
AUUAUAACUAUACUAGAUAGACGGCUGUAAGAUGUAAAUAUAAUUUUUUAUCGAUAAUAUUUAAAUUUUAAAUAGUAAA